rnacentral:tRNA from 1 species
GGGCACAUGGCGCAGUUGGUAGCGCGCUUCCCUUGAAUGAAGAGUCAUCGGUUCGAUUCCGGUUGCGUCCA